rnacentral:misc_RNA from 1 species
UUUCCGUAGGUGAACCUGCGGAAGGAUCAUUAUUGAAUGAACUUGGCGUGGUUGUCGCUGGCCCUCUCGUGGGUAUGUGCACGCCCGUCAUCUUUAUCUUUCCACCUGUGCACACUUUGUAGACUUGAAUAGUAUUUUCUGAGGAAACUCAGUCGGGAGGAUUGCUGGUAUUUAUCAGCUCUCCUUGCAUUAUUCAAGCCUAUGUUUUUCAUAUACCCCAAAAAUGUAACAGAAUGUAUCAUUGGGCCUUGUGCCUAUAAACUAUAUACAACUUUCAGCAACGGAUCUCUUGGCUCUC